CUCUCCCUCUCUCUCUCUCUCUCCCUCUCUCUCUCUCUCUCCCUCUCUGAAUGAGGUGUGGACUUGAUCAGCCUCUCUCUCUCUCUCUCUCUCUCUCCCUCUCUGAAUGAGGUGUGGACUUGAUCAGCCUCUCUCUCUCCCUCUCUCUCUCUCUCUCUCUCUCUCUCUCUGAAUGAGGUGUGGACUUGAUCAGCCGCUCUCUCUCUCUCUCUCUGAAUGAGGUGUGGACUUGAUCAGCCUCUCUCUCUCUCUCUCUGAAUGAGGUGUGGACCCUACACUUGGACUUGGACAGCGUCUCUCUCCCUCAGCCUCUCUCUCCCUCUCUGAACGAGCUGUGGAAUUGGACAGCCUCUCUCUCCCUCAGCCUCUCUCUCCCUCUCUGAAGGAGGUGUGGACCCUACACUUGGACUUGAUCAGCCUCUCUCUACCUCCCUGAAUGAGGUGUGGACUUGGACAGCCUCUCUCUCUCCCUCAGCCUCUCUCUCCCUCUCUGAAGGAGCUGUGGACUUGGACAGGUGUGACUGGGCUGUCGACCUCUUAGUAACCUCCUCAGACAUGGCUGCCAGCACAGAUCCUCAAUGCCCUCAACACACACAAUUUCAGUAUAAUCAGAGAGAAAGAAGGUCUAAUGGCACAUCUCUACACACACACACACACACACACACACACACACACACACACAC
ensembl:lncRNA